rnacentral:rRNA from 1 species
AGUCAGAGGCGAUGAAGGACGUGCUAAUCUGCGAUAAGCGUCGGUAAGGUGAUAUGAACCGUUAUAACCGGCGAUUUCCGAAUGGGGAAACCCAGUGUGUUUCGACACACUAUCAUUAACUGAAUCCAUAGGUUAAUGAGGCGAACCGGGGGAACUGAAACAUCUAAGUACCCCGAGGAAAAGAAAUCAACCGAGAUUCCCCCAGUAGCGGCGAGCGAACGGGGAGCAGCCCAGAGCCUGAAUCAGUGUGUGUGUUAGUGGAAGCGUCUGGAAAGGCGCGCGAUACAGGGUGACAGCCCCGUACACAAAAAUGCACAUGCUGUGAGCUCGAUGAGUAGGGCGGGACACGUGGUAUCCUGUCUGAAUAUGGGGGGACCAUCCUCCAAGGCUAAAUACUCCUGACUGACCGAUAGUGAACCAGUACCGUGAGGGAAAGGCGAAAAGAACCCCGGCGAGGGGAGUGAAAAAGAACCUGAAACCGUGUACGUACAAGCAGUGGGAGCACGCUUAGGCGUGUGACUGCGUACCUUUUGUAUAAUGGGUCAGCGACUUAUAUUCUGUAGCAAGGUUAACCGAAUAGGGGAGCCGAAGGGAAACCGAGUCUUAACUGGGCGUUAAGUUGCAGGGUAUAGACCCGAAACCCGGUGAUCUAGCCAUGGGCAGGUUGAAGGUUGGGUAACACUAACUGGAGGACCGAACCGACUAAUGUUGAAAAAUUAGCGGAUGACUUGUGGCUGGGGGUGAAAGGCCAAUCAAACCGGGAGAUAGCUGGUUCUCCCCGAAAGCUAUUUAGGUAGCGCCUCGUGAAUUCAUCUCCGGGGGUAGAGCACUGUUUCGGCAAGGGGGUCAUCCCGACUUACCAACCCGAUGCAAACUGCGAAUACCGGAGAAUGUUAUCACGGGAGACACACGGCGGGUGCUAACGUCCGUCGUGAAGAGGGAAACAACCCAGACCGCCAGCUAAGGUCCCAAAGUCAUGGUUAAGUGGGAAACGAUGUGGGAAGGCCCAGACAGCCAGGAUGUUGGCUUAGAAGCAGCCAUCAUUUAAAGAAAGCGUAAUAGCUCACUGGUCGAGUCGGCCUGCGCGGAAGAUGUAACGGGGCUAAACCAUGCACCGAAGCUGCGGCAGCGACGCUGAUGCGUUGUUGGGUAGGGGAGCGUUCUGUAAGCCUGCGAAGGUGUGCUGUGAGGCAUGCUGGAGGUAUCAGAAGUGCGAAUGCUGACAUAAGUAACGAUAAAGCGGGUGAAAAGCCCGCUCGCCGGAAGACCAAGGGUUCCUGUCCAACGUUAAUCGGGGCAGGGUGAGUCGACCCCUAAGGCGAGGCCGAAAGGCGUAGUCGAUGGGAAACAGGUUAAUAUUCCUGUACUUGGUGUUACUGCGAAGGGGGGACGGAGAAGGCUAUGUUGGCCGGGCGACGGUUGUCCCGGUUUAAGCGUGUAGGCUGGUUUUCCAGGCAAAUCCGGAAAAUCAAGGCUGAGGCGUGAUGACGAGGCACUACGGUGCUGAAGCAACAAAUGCCCUGCUUCCAGGAAAAGCCUCUAAGCAUCAGGUAACAUCAAAUCGUACCCCAAACCGACACAGGUGGUCAGGUAGAGAAUACCAAGGCGCUUGAGAGAACUCGGGUGAAGGAACUAGGCAAAAUGGUGCCGUAACUUCGGGAGAAGGCACGCUGAUAUGUAGGUGAGGUCCCUCGCGGAUGGAGCUGAAAUCAGUCGAAGAUACCAGCUGGCUGCAACUGUUUAUUAAAAACACAGCACUGUGCAAACACGAAAGUGGACGUAUACGGUGUGACGCCUGCCCGGUGCCGGAAGGUUAAUUGAUGGGGUUAGCGCAAGCGAAGCUCUUGAUCGAAGCCCCGGUAAACGGCGGCCGUAACUAUAACGGUCCUAAGGUAGCGAAAUUCCUUGUCGGGUAAGUUCCGACCUGCACGAAUGGCGUAAUGAUGGCCAGGCUGUCUCCACCCGAGACUCAGUGAAAUUGAACUCGCUGUGAAGAUGCAGUGUACCCGCGGCAAGACGGAAAGACCCCGUGAACCUUUACUAUAGCUUGACACUGAACAUUGAGCCUUGAUGUGUAGGAUAGGUGGGAGGCUUUGAAGUGUGGACGCCAGUCUGCAUGGAGCCGACCUUGAAAUACCACCCUUUAAUGUUUGAUGUUCUAACGUUGACCCGUAAUCCGGGUUGCGGACAGUGUCUGGUGGGUAGUUUGACUGGGGCGGUCUCCUCCUAAAGAGUAACGGAGGAGCACGAAGGUUGGCUAAUCCUGGUCGGACAUCAGGAGGUUAGUGCAAUGGCAUAAGCCAGCUUGACUGCGAGCGUGACGGCGCGAGCAGGUGCGAAAGCAGGUCAUAGUGAUCCGGUGGUUCUGAAUGGAAGGGCCAUCGCUCAACGGAUAAAAGGUACUCCGGGGAUAACAGGCUGAUACCGCCCAAGAGUUCAUAUCGACGGCGGUGUUUGGCACCUCGAUGUCGGCUCAUCACAUCCUGGGGCUGAAGUAGGUCCCAAGGGUAUGGCUGUUCGCCAUUUAAAGUGGUACGCGAGCUGGGUUUAGAACGUCGUGAGACAGUUCGGUCCCUAUCUGCCGUGGGCGCUGGAGAACUGAGGGGGGCUGCUCCUAGUACGAGAGGACCGGAGUGGACGCAUCACUGGUGUUCGGGUUGUCAUGCCAAUGGCACUGCCCGGUAGCUAAAUGCGGAAGAGAUAAGUGCUGAAAGCAUCUAAGCACGAAACUUGCCCCGAGAUGAGUUCUCCCUGACUCCUUGAGAGUCCUGAAGGAACGUUGAAGACGACGACGUUGAUAGGCCGGGUGUGUAAGCGCAGCGAUGCGUUGAGCUAACCGGUACUAAUGAACCGUGAGGCUUAACCUU